rnacentral:rRNA from 1 species
UACGUAGGGGGCAAGCGUUGUCCGGAUUUAUUGGGCGUAAAGAGCGUGUAGGCGGCCAGGUAGGUCGGUUGUGAAAACUGGAGGCUCAACCUUCAGACGUCGACCGAAACCAUCUGGCUAGAGUCCGGGAGAGGAGAGUGGAAUUCCUGGUGUAGCGGUGAAAUGCGCAGAUAUCAGGAGGAACACCAACGGCGAAGGCAGCUCGCUGGGACGGAACUGACGCUGAGGCGCGAAAGCGUGGGGAGCGAACAGG